CCCCAAAUGCGCUAAAAAAUAAACAAGAAUCAUAUAGGUUGGGCAUCAGAGAAAAAAAUAUGGGACAACUUCCAAUUUUGCCUUGCUUCCUCUAAUGCCCAUCUCAAAGAAGGAACACAAAUAUCAAAGAUUUCUUUUACUAAAGGAGUUGUUAGUCUUAUAAUCAAAAAAAGUAUGACACUCUCUUUCUUCCUCAUUUAAAAAUAUAUUUUUUAACAAUAC
rnacentral:lncRNA from 1 species